AUAGUCCUUUUAAUCUGAGAGGGGAAAGCACCUAUUAAAUUCUGUCUUCUGGCAAGUUUUCUUUUCCAUAGUAAAUUAUUAUUGUUAAUAUGCAAAGACAAAGGGGAGUAUUGUGACUGUGAAAUAAUUUUCAUUAGCUGGGUUAUUUAGAGUUGAUUCAAAGCAAUCUCUGUUCUGUGGUUAUGUACUUUAGUUGCUGAAGUGUAUGAAGAAAUCUGACAUAAUGACAUAAUGAGCAGUAAUGGGAGCUGGGCUGAUAAAAUCUUUUCUUCAAGAAUUUCUUCCUCAGAAAUUUAAGACAAACCCUCUCUUGGUUGCUGUGCAAAGUUAAAGAACACUGCUACACAACACAGUCUGAACACGAGGAUUCAAGAGAAAAGAAGGAACAGAGAACUAGUUUUUCUUGCAGGUACUGUUCAUUCCUCUGUUUGCAACAGAUGGAUUUUAAAGAAUUC
rnacentral:lncRNA from 1 species